CGGGGCCAGGCUUGUGGCAACUUGGGCCUGGCUGUUCUCUUGGAAGGACGUUUCCAGCCUCUGGGCCCCAGAAGACCCUGGCACGUCCACUGCCCUCACUGGAAUGGGACCACCUCCACCUCCCGGGGCCCCAAGGCCCGGGUCCCGGGCACAGGUCGCCUCUUUCCUCCUCAACGUUUUUUUUUUGUUUGUUUAGUUUUUUGUUUGUUUUUUUGUUUUUUUUGCCCUUAAGACCCAAAGACAGAGGCUUCACCACGUUCAGGUAAUGAAACUGGCUUUUGUGAGACUUGCGUCAGACCAGCUGUGUGACUUUGGCUGAGCUACGUAACCUUUCUGAACCUUAUCUCUGGGCUCCCGUGAGAACUGAGAGUGAGGAAGGCCCGGGGCCUCACAGGGCUGGGCUGGAGGCACAAGCUUCCAGAAGCGACAAGGAAGUAGUCUGGGACACCUGCCUGCCUCUCGUUCCGCAGCAGGGAUGGUGCCACCCCCUCAACCCGGCCUGAUACACGCAGAGGACAGACAUUCCCAAGCAGCCCAUGGCUCUGCCUCCCUCUGAAUCUGCCUGGUACCCAUUCGAACACUCAAGGCUCUGAUAAGGCCUGCACUGACAGGUCCAGCUAGCGCUGCGUAACCUGUAUUUCCCCGGGUCAUUUGGCUAGAAGCCCUUUAUCUGGAAAAUCCUGAGGGACCUUCAGAGGACCAGGUUGUAGUUCACACCAAGAAGCAAGCUCCGUGCGGCAGAGCCCAGGGGACUCAGGGCCGUGCCUGGUGCAGUGCAGCCCCCCGGGGGGCUCCGUGAAUGAGCGCCUGUGUGAAUGGGUGAGUGAGUGGAAUUCACAAGUGGAGCAUGAAGGCUGAGUGGCUCUUCCGGCCCCAGACGCGGUGCGAACUGCCUGUGUUGCGGGGCCGGAAGCGGCAGGGUAGAUUCUGACCGAGGCUGCUUCAAUGCCUGGCGCCCCUGAGGACGGGGUCCCAGGAGAACCCCCGGCGUGGGCUGCAGAGCAACUCCCCCGAGAAGCCGCCCGGGAGCUCACAGGCGACCAGGACAUCGUCACGCAGGGACAAUGCCAGGGUCCGAGCGGGGCAGCUAUUGAGGGAACUGCCCUCACCCUUGGUUGAGUAAAUGAAAGAACGCUGGUGCGUGUGAUGGGCUACGGGGUCAAGCAGACGUGGGGCGCCCCUGAAAGAGCAGCCGGCGACGUGAGGCUUCGUGGAAAGAAGCCCCCAGGAGCCAGGGCUGGAGCAGAAGGCAGGGUGGUGGGAGCGUCAGCCUCUGCUGCUGCCGUGGGCUGAGUGUGUCUCCCCAGAGGUCCCAGCCCUUGGCACCUCCGCAUGUGACUGUACUUGAGGACAGGCCGUUAAAGACACAAUUCUUUUAAAACGAGGCCUUCCGGGGGCCUAAUGCAGCCUCACAGUGCCCUUCCAGGGAGCAGAGGGCUGGAGACGCGCACACAGAGGAGAGGCCUGUGGGGACCUGGGAAGGCGCCAUAUGUGAACCAGGAGGAGACGGCGGGAGAAGCCCACCCUGGUUCACAGGCUCCAGUGCGGUGAGGGGAGCGAUGUCUGCUAUGUGAGCUGCCCCGUCUGUGGUAUUUUGUUUUGGGUGCUCCCAAAUGCAG
rnacentral:lncRNA from 1 species